GGUUAAGCGACUAAGCGUACACGGUGGAUGCCCUGGCAGUCAGAGGCGAUGAAGGACGUGCUAAUCUGCGAUAAGCGUCGGUAAGGUGAUAUGAACCGUUAUAACCGGCGAUUUCCGAAUGGGGAAACCCAGUGUGUUUCGACACACUAUCAUUAACUGAAUCCAUAGGUUAAUGAGGCGAACCGGGGGAACUGAAACAUCUAAGUACCCCGAGGAAAAGAAAUCAACCGAGAUUCCCCCAGUAGCGGCGAGCGAACGGGGAGCAGCCCAGAGCCUGAAUCAGUGUGUGUGUUAGUGGAAGCGUCUGGAAAGGCGCGCGAUACAGGGUGACAGCCCCGUACACAAAAAUGCACAUACUGUGAGCUCGAUGAGUAGGGCGGGACACGUGGUAUCCUGUCUGAAUAUGGGGGGACCAUCCUCCAAGGCUAAAUACUCCUGACUGACCGAUAGUGAACCAGUACCGUGAGGGAAAGGCGAAAAGAACCCCGGCGAGGGGAGUGAAAAAGAACCUGAAACCGUGUACGUACAAGCAGUGGGAGCCUCUUAAUGGGGUGACUGCGUACCUUUUGUAUAAUGGGUCAGCGACUUAUAUUCUGUAGCAAGGUUAACCGAAUAGGGGAGCCGAAGGGAAACCGAGUCUUAACUGGGCGUUAAGUUGCAGGGUAUAGACCCGAAACCCGGUGAUCUAGCCAUGGGCAGGUUGAAGGUUGGGUAACACUAACUGGAGGACCGAACCGACUAAUGUUGAAAAAUUAGCGGAUGACUUGUGGCUGGGGGUGAAAGGCCAAUCAAACCGGGAGAUAGCUGGUUCUCCCCGAAAGCUAUUUAGGUAGCGCCUCGUGAAUUCAUCUCCGGGGGUAGAGCACUGUUUCGGCAAGGGGGUCAUCCCGACUUACCAACCCGAUGCAAACUGCGAAUACCGGAGAAUGUUAUCACGGGAGACACACGGCGGGUGCUAACGUCCGUCGUGAAGAGGGAAACAACCCAGACCGCCAGCUAAGGUCCCAAAGUCAUGGUUAAGUGGGAAACGAUGUGGGAAGGCCCAGACAGCCAGGAUGUUGGCUUAGAAGCAGCCAUCAUUUAAAGAAAGCGUAAUAGCUCACUGGUCGAGUCGGCCUGCGCGGAAGAUGUAACGGGGCUAAACCAUGCACCGAAGCUGCGGCAGCGACGUUUAUGCGUUGUUGGGUAGGGGAGCGUUCUGUAAGCCUGCGAAGGUGUACUGUGAGGUAUGCUGGAGGUAUCAGAAGUGCGAAUGCUGACAUAAGUAACGAUAAAGCGGGUGAAAAGCCCGCUCGCCGGAAGACCAAGGGUUCCUGUCCAACGUUAAUCGGGGCAGGGUGAGUCGACCCCUAAGGCGAGGCCGAAAGGCGUAGUCGAUGGGAAACAGGUUAAUAUUCCUGUACUUGGUGUUACUGCGAAGGGGGGACGGAGAAGGCUAUGUUGGCCGGGCGACGGUUGUCCCGGUUUAAGCGUGUAGGCUGGUUUUCCAGGCAAAUCCGGAAAAUCAAGGCUGAGGCGUGAUGACGAGGCACUACGGUGCUGAAGCAACAAAUGCCCUGCUUCCAGGAAAAGCCUCUAAGCAUCAGGUAACAUCAAAUCGUACCCCAAACCGACACAGGUGGUCAGGUAGAGAAUACCAAGGCGCUUGAGAGAACUCGGGUGAAGGAACUAGGCAAAAUGGUGCCGUAACUUCGGGAGAAGGCACGCUGAUAUGUAGGUGAAGUCCCUCGCGGAUGGAGCUGAAAUCAGUCGAAGAUACCAGCUGGCUGCAACUGUUUAUUAAAAACACAGCACUGUGCAAACACGAAAGUGGACGUAUACGGUGUGACGCCUGCCCGGUGCCGGAAGGUUAAUUGAUGGGGUUAGCGGUAACGCGAAGCUCUUGAUCGAAGCCCCGGUAAACGGCGGCCGUAACUAUAACGGUCCUAAGGUAGCGAAAUUCCUUGUCGGGUAAGUUCCGACCUGCACGAAUGGCGUAAUGAUGGCCAGGCUGUCUCCACCCGAGACUCAGUGAAAUUGAACUCGCUGUGAAGAUGCAGUGUACCCGCGGCAAGACGGAAAGACCCCGUGAACCUUUACUAUAGCUUGACACUGAACAUUGAGCCUUGAUGUGUAGGAUAGGUGGGAGGCUUUGAAGUGUGGACGCCAGUCUGCAUGGAGCCGGCCUUGAAAUACCACCCUUUAAUGUUUGAUGUUCUAACGUUGGCCCCUUACCGGGGUUGCGGACAGUGUCUGGUGGGUAGUUUGACUGGGGCGGUCUCCUCCUAAAGAGUAACGGAGGAGCACGAAGGUUGGCUAAUCCUGGUCGGACAUCAGGAGGUUAGUGCAAUGGCAUAAGCCAGCUUGACUGCGAGCGUGACGGCGCGAGCAGGUGCGAAAGCAGGUCAUAGUGAUCCGGUGGUUCUGAAUGGAAGGGCCAUCGCUCAACGGAUAAAAGGUACUCCGGGGAUAACAGGCUGAUACCGCCCAAGAGUUCAUAUCGACGGCGGUGUUUGGCACCUCGAUGUCGGCUCAUCACAUCCUGGGGCUGAAGUAGGUCCCAAGGGUAUGGCUGUUCGCCAUUUAAAGUGGUACGCGAGCUGGGUUUAGAACGUCGUGAGACAGUUCGGUCCCUAUCUGCCGUGGGCGCUGGAGAACUGAGGGGGGCUGCUCCUAGUACGAGAGGACCGGAGUGGACGCAUCACUGGUGUUCGGGUUGUCAUGCCAAUGGCACUGCCCGGUAGCUAAAUGCGGAAGAGAUAAGUGCUGAAAGCAUCUAAGCACGAAACUUGCCCCGAGAUGAGUUCUCCCUGACUCCUUGAGAGUCCUGAAGGAACGUUGAAGACGACGACGUUGAUAGGCCGGGUGUGUAAGCGCAGCGAUGCGUUGAGCUAACCGGUACUAAUGAACCGUGAGGCUUAACCUU
rnacentral:rRNA from 1 species